rnacentral:rRNA from 1 species
GACGAACGCUGGCGGCGUGCUUAACACAUGCAAGUCGAACGGAAAGGCCCUGCUUUUGUGGGGUGCUCGAGUGGCGAACGGGUGAGUAACACGUGAGUAACCUGCCCUUGACUUUGGGAUAACUUCAGGAAACUGGGGCUAAUACCGGAUAGGAGCUCCUGCUGCAUGGUGGGGGUUGGAAAGUUUCGGCGGUUGGGGAUGGACUCGCGGCUUAUCAGCUUGUUGGUGGGGUAGUGGCUUACCAAGGCUUUGACGGGUAGCCGGCCUGAGGGGGUGACCGGCCACCUGGGAACUGAGAUAGGCCCCAGACUCCUACGGAGGCAGCAGUGGGGAAUAUUGCACAAUGGGCGGAAGCCUGAUGCAGCAACGCCGCGUGCGGGAUGACGGCCUUCGGGUUGUAAACCGCUUUCGCCUGUGACGAAGCGUGAGUGACGGUAAUGGGUAAAGAAGCACCGGCUAACUACGUG